CAACAACAGACGUAACUGGCUGUUUUCAAAAACUUGCGUGCUUUCAGUGAUUGUUCAACCAAAGAAUCCUCGGGUAAUUUUCUGAUUUAGCCUAUUUUCAGGCGAUCUUAGACGCUCUUCUGUCACUGAAGAAGAGGGUAGUCAGAUCCACAGCAUCUCCAUUCCAGCAGCUGUACAUCAUCAUGACUAGGACCAAUGGUGAAAGGUUGGAGCGUCCUAGUGGCAACACGGCAGGACCGUGAGAGCACCAGCCCUACCGGACCCUGGCUCCUGUGGUUUGCUUCGGUUUGAAGCCAACCUCACCUUUCCGUCAGCACUGCCUUAAGUUGGCCGUUAGCCCAUAUCCUUUGGAUCCUGGAUUUCCUUGUUGAACCUUUUGGGGUCCAUAUGGGAAUCUCCUUCACCGUGUCCCCAAUGCGACUGUUCAGCAGAAUUGACGAGAUGUGAAGGUUGGUGUCCAUGUUCCUAAGCAUCCUACCCAUGGUGGGAAAUGUCCUCACACUCUAUGCACUUGUCAUCUACAUCUUCGCCAUCGUGGGAGUCCAGCUAUGGGUGGGGGACCUGCGCCACCGCUGCUUUCUGGGAGAGGACAUCCCUGUACUGGCAUACGGCACUGCUCAGACAUACUUCCUCUCCGUGAAGGAGGGAACACCUGUUUGUUGGCUGCUCCCCAGCAGGAGCCAUUGUCAGAUCCCCCUGUUGGGCUGGUCGCCAUGACAAAUCUUAGUGGCUGCGUUAACUGGAACGCCUACUACAACGUGUGUCGUCCCGGGAAACAUAACCCAAACCUGGGCUCUAUCAAUUUCGAUAAUAUUGGCUAUGCCUGGAUUGCCAUUUUUCAGAAUGCUCUCCGGACUUCCCGUGCCUCGGCCUGCACCGCCACACUAACUUUGAGAACUUCUUGGUGGCCUUGCUGACUCUGCACAAAGUCAGCACCGGACACAACUGGAGCGGCAUCCUGAAAGACACGAUGAGGGGGUGCCAGUUAGGCAACAGUGCCUGUACCAGCUACCUGACUUGGGCUUCUCCCAUCUUCUUCACCACCUUUGUCAUCAUUGUCCAGUUUGUGCUUGUCAACCAGGUGGUGGCAGCAAUCACGCAGGCGCUGGAGGACAGCUCCAUGAAACGAGACCUGCUGCCUUAAUCAGAUGUGACAGGAGAAGUGACGGCCAUCACAGCCUUCCUGGCCGGAUUUGCAACUCAUCACUACAGGGUAAUAACUCCUGUCAGAUGUUACAGGCCUGCUCACUGAAGGCCCUUACUUCAUUUACCUGAAUAAAGGAAUUCAUUGCUUAGCUCAUGAAAAGUUCCUUCGGCCAUGUUGGCCUUGAUGUCCAUUAAUCUGAACCAGCUUUCAGUAAAAUUAAAAUAAAAU